rnacentral:rRNA from 1 species
UACGAAGGGGGCUAGCGUUGCUCGGAAUCACUGGGCGUAAAGGGCGCGUAGGCGGCUGUUCAAGUCGGGGGUGAAAGCCUGUGGCUCAACCACAGAAUGGCCUUCGAUACUGGACGGCUCGAGACCGGAAGAGGUCAGUGGAACUGCGAGUGUAGAGGUGAAAUUCGUAGAUAUUCGCAAGAACACCAGUGGCGAAGGCGGCUCACUGGCCCGAUACUGACGCUGAGGCACGAAAGCGUGGGGAGCAAACAGG